UACGGGGGGGCAAGCGUUGUUCGGAAUUACUGGGCGUAAAGGGCUCGUAGGCGGCCAACUAAGUCAGACGUGAAAUCCCUCGGCUUAACCGGGGAACUGCGUCUGAUACUGGAUGGCUUGAGAUUGGGAGAGGGAUGCGGAAUUCCGAGGUGUAGCGGUGAAAUGCGUAGAUAUCUGGAGGAACACCGGUGGCGAAGGCGGCAUCCUGGACCAACACUGACGCUGAGGAGCGAAAGCCAGGGGAGCAAACGGG
rnacentral:rRNA from 1 species